UCGGGAAUUUUGGGCAAUGGGCGAAAGCCUGACCCAGCAACGCCGCGUGAGGGAUGAAGUAUUUCGGUAUGUAAACCUCGAAAGAAUGGGAAGAAUAAAUGACGGUACCAUUUAUAAGCCCCGGCUAACUACGUGCCAGCAGCCGCGGUAAUACGUAGGGGGCAAGCGUUGUCCGGAUUUACUGGGUGUAAAGGGCGCGCAGGCGGGAUAAAAAGUCAGUGGUGAAAUCCUACAGCUUAACUGUAGAACUGCCUUUGAUACUUUUAUUCUUGAGUUCGGGAGAGAGAGACGGAAUUCCAGGUGUAGUGGUGAAAUACGUAGAUAUCUGGAAGAACACCAGUUGCGAAGGCGGUCUCUUGGUCCGACACUGACGCUGAGGCGCGAAAGCGUGGGGAGCAAACA
rnacentral:rRNA from 1 species